rnacentral:rRNA from 1 species
UACGAGUGGUGCAAGCGUUAUUCGGAAUCAUUGGGCGUAAAGGGUGUGUAGACGGUAUGUUAAGUCAACUGUUAAAUUCUCCGGCCUAACCGGAGGUCAGCAGUAGAUACUGAUGUGCUUGAGGGUGGAAGAGAGAAGUGGAAUUCUCGGAGUAGCGGUAAAAUGCGUAGAUCUCGAGAGGAACACCAAUGGCGAAGGCAGCUUCUUGGUCCAUUUCUGACGUUGAAACACGAAAGCGUGGGGAGCAAACAGG